rnacentral:lncRNA from 1 species
CCUCUCCCCCUCCCUGUCCUGCCAGGCAGGAGGUCUAGCCGAGUGUCCAAGUUUUAAAAAAAACCGUUUUCCAAUUACCAUCUGAGUAGGAGUUGCCUUGGGGCAGUUUUCCUUAUCUGCUGUUAAUGGCCCCAUCAAUGCCUGAGAGAUAACACCGUCCAGGAGGAGGAGGUGAUUAAGGACACACCUUGUGACUCAUAAUGACCCAUUGUGAGAUGCUCUGCCCAAGGGGAGGAGCUAGGCAUUCCCACCUGGAUAAAACUGGAGAUUUCUACACAGAGGGGAGCCUUUCCAGAGGUUCUCUGAGAAGACACAGCAACUACAUCUGCCAUCCCAAGAGGACUGCAGCUACUCCAAUUUGGACUGCUACCAGCACGCUGGCCAGGUUGUAUUCUGACUUUGUCAGUAGCCUUUCCCUUUGUAUUAUUGCAUGUAUUUUUGUCCUUUUCCCCUUUUCCCAAUAAAUUGUAUUUCUGACUUGGAGUCUCUCACUGGUUUUGCUUUCAAACCAGAACACAGAGGGAAACACGGGCAGCGGGAGAGCGGCUGGGUGGUGGGCAGCAUCCUCCCAGAAGCCCUGCAGAGGUGCCAUGGGUUAAAUCUCCACCUCCAGUUUUGGGAAAGAGCUGGCAAACACUUUCACUUUGGACUUCUCAGUGACUGUGCUCUGGGAGAAGAUGAACCCCCACCCCAGUGUAGAGCCAAUGCAGAGCUGCUGCAACUCUUGCUUCCCAGCAUAGCUGGGCCAUGGCAUGGUUCUGCACAACCCUUUGUCUGGGUUUUGGAUGGGUCAAGAAACAGCUCUGUGACCCACUUCUUCCUGGACAGCCAGAUACAUCCUACUGCACCAGAGAGGAGCUUCCCUGCAGGAGGUAGAGGCUAUGGAUGUCCUGAGGUACCCUCCUGGGAUAUCUGAAAUUGCUUUUCCUGCUCACCUGUGGAAAGACCCUCAAAUCCAAGGGCAGGCAGAAAAGACCUUAUUAAUGAGUGCAAGGCCCUAGACUUCUCCCUGCUUGGAUGGAGCAGAAAUACAGUGAGGAGCAAAUGGUACCAAAAGUCCCACACCCUCAGAGUUGUCAGAGGGGAGACAGGCUCCCUGGUGGCUUCCAGAGAGAUCUCCUGCCCCUAUGAAAUCGAAGUUUAGCCAUUUACCCCAAUAAAACCCACAUAGAAGUUAGGGUCCUUGCUGAG